CAUCCACCUCGUCGCCUCCCAUCUCCUUCCUCCCCCUCCCUCCCCCACAUUCCCUUUUCGCCCCUCCUUCCCGGACCACGAUGGCGCCCGCAUCGGCUCCAGCGCUGCCACGCUCCACGUCGUUGCCUCCCUUGCCCGCCACCUCGUCUCCCAGGCCACCAAGGAAGAGAUCGCCGAAUUCCUCCCCGAAACGACCGGCUCCUCCGCUGAUGACGUCCCGCUAGCAUCUGUGGUGCGCUUGAUGGCCACCAAGAACAUGCUACUGUUGCACACCAGCGGCGACAUCAAGAGGGUUCCGUGGGCGAACCCCAUGGGGAAGGCCUUCCUGCCGGUGCCUUACCUGGCCGGGGACAACCCCGACGGGCCUGUCCCGCUGCUCUUCGACCACAUCAGGGGGAUCCAGCGCAAGGCAAGCAUUCAAGACCGGCAUCGGCAAGUCCAACCUGAUCUCCCGCUUCACCCGCAACGAGUUCAGCCUCGAGUCCAAGUCCACCAUCAGGGGGUCGAAUUCGCCACCGGCUCCCUCUAGGUCGACGGCAAGGUCGUGAAGGCCCAGAUUUGGGACACCGCCGGCUCUUCCUAUCCCCGUCUGUUCGGCAGCAGUUGUGGAGACCAUGGAUGGGACUAUCGUAGUUGCUUCUGCGUUUUGCGGGCAUCAGGAAGUAAUGCUCCUCUUCCUCGACCACCCGAACAACCAUGCCGGUGGGCUCCUGAAGCAUCAACUUCAAUAAUGGUGACCCUAGAGCUAGCUAGUUUAGUCUGCUACGGUUUGGGGGUGCUUUGGGUUUCAAUUCACUACAGCAGAAGCACCAUUCUUUUGCCUUUUUCAGUUAGAUGCCUUUGGAUUGUUUGGCUUUUGGUAGAUGCAGAGUAUAGAUUAAGUAUUCCAUAAAAUUCACCACAUGAGUAUACUACUUAAUAGCCAAUUUUCGUGGUCAAAUUCAGCCCUGGAUGCAAAUGGACAUCAUGAUUCUGUUAUGCACCGAGGUCGGUGGUCGAAUUCUCGAUUGGUGUGGAACACCAUGGACAGGGCAAAAUCAGUGUGCUUUGAAACAUAGGGCGAAUCUUGUGGAGGAGUAGGGCGAAUCGGACAUUGUCUCGCUUGUGCUGCUGUGAUAACAUGUUGAAUGUUGUUCAUGCGACUGUGUAUGAAUCUUCUGUACGUGCAGAUUAUCAGGCAUUAUUUAAUGCUGUUGGGGGUGUAACAAAGUGUUUGAACCAACAACAGAAAAAUCAGUUUGAUGUAUGGAUGCUUCAUGCGGUGGUAGCUAAUGAUCUCUGUACUGAUGACAGUUUUCUGAUCAGGAUCUAAUGUCGUCGAGGUGGCUGCUACUCUUACCGAAGAUCAGAAGAAGCCUGGAUAUAUGCACCAAGUUUUAGUUGAUGUUGCCACCAAGUUUUGGUUCAUGUGUAUUUGUUUUUUGAUUGUAUGUACACUUGUUGGAUCGUGCAGUAUGUGCUAUUGUACAUGUGCUAUUGUGAGUUUCGUUGAUAGAUUUUUGGAUUUGAUCAUUUAAUUGAGAGAAUGUUUGACUGUUUGCUGUUGAAA